AUGAAGAAGAUCUUGUUCAGCAUGUUCUAUUCGAUACUGGUAGGAGAAGAACCCGACUCGGUAUUCUUAAAAAAAGAGGGGAAGCAGAACCAAGUCAAGAUGAUAUGGGUCGCCCCUUCUUCUUGCGCCAAAGAUCUUACCAUUUCCGAAGGAACUGGGGCUACAUUUCUUUUCAAUUUCCAUUCAAGAGUUUCUUAUAAAAUGGAGCACGCAAGGGUCUGCUGA
rnacentral:rRNA from 1 species